rnacentral:rRNA from 1 species
GACAGAGGCCUCAAGCGUUAGGCGGAAUCACUGGGCUUAAAGCGUGUGUAGGCGGAUCGUUAAGUGUCUUGUGAAAUCCCACGGCUCACCCGUGGAACGGCUGGGCAUACUGGCGAUCUUGGGCCAACUAGGGGCAACUGGAACAAGCGGUGGAGCGGUGAAAUGCGUAGAUAUCGCUUGGAACGCCGAAGGUGAAACAGGUUGCUGGGGUUGUGCCGACG